rnacentral:rRNA from 1 species
GUGGGGAAUCUUAGACAAUGGGGGAAACCCUGAUCUAGCCAUGCCGCGUGAUCGAUGAAGGCCUUAGGGUUGUAAAGAUCUUUCAGCUGGGAAGAUAAUGACGGUACCAGCAGAAGAAGCCCCGGCUAACUCCGUGCCAGCAGCCGCGGUAAUACGGAGGGGGCUAGCGUUGUUCGGAAUUACUGGGCGUAAAGCGCACGUAGGCGGAUUGGAAAGUUGGGGGUGAAAUCCCGGGGCUCAACCCCGGAACUGCCUUCAAAACUCCCAGUCUUGAGGUCGAGAGAGGUGAGUGGAAUUCCGAGUGUAGAGGUGAAAUUCGUAGAUAUUCGGAGGAACACCAGUGGCGAAGGCGGCUCACUGGCUCGAUACUGACGCUGAGGUGCGAAAGCGUGGGGAGCAAACAGGAUUAGAAACCCUAGUAGUCC